UACGUAGGGUGCGAGCGUUAUUCGGAAUUAUUGGGCGUAAAGCGCGCGUAGGCGGCCACUUAAGUCGAAUGUGAAAGCCCCCGGCUCAACUGGGGAGGGUCAUUCGAUACUGUUCGACUCGAAGGCAGGAGAGGGAAGUGGAAUUCCCGGUGUAGCGGUGAAAUGCGCAGAUAUCAGGAGGAACACCAAUGGCGAAGGCAGCUCGCUGGGACGGUACUGACGCUGAGGCGCGAAAGCGUGGGGAGCAAACAGG
rnacentral:rRNA from 1 species